CCUACGGGUGGCAGCAGUGGGGAAUAUUGGACAAUGGGCGAAAGCCUGAUCCAGCCAUGCCGCGUGUGUGAAGAAGGCCUUCGGGUUGUAAAGCACUUUCAGUGGGGAAGAAAGCCUUGGGGCUAAUACCCUCGAGGAAGGACAUCACCCACAGAAGAAGCACCGGCUAACUCCGUGCCAGCAGCCGCGGUAAUACGGAGGGUGCGAGCGUUAAUCGGAAUUACUGGGCGUAAAGCGCGCGUAGGCGGUCUGAUAAGCCGGUUGUGAAAGCCCCGGGCUCUACCUGGGAACGGCAUCCGGAACUGUCAGGCUAGAGUGCAGGAGAGGAAGGUAGAAUUCCCGGUGUAGCGGUGAAAUGCGUAGAGAUCGGGAGGAAUACCAGUGGCGAAGGCGGCCUUCUGGACUGACACUGACGCUGAGGUGCGAAAGCGUGGGUAGCAAACAGGAUUAGAUACCCUUGUAGUC
rnacentral:rRNA from 1 species